GAUGAGAUUCAGGCAUUGAUUGAAAGCACAGAAGAGUAAUAUCAUCUUUGGUUUACUUCUGAGGAACGCACUAAAUAUGUACUCCAUGCUUUAACCUCAGUGGCGCCAACCAAAAAUUGUACAAAUCUACAAAGAACAGCCUGGAAAAGAAUAGCACAGGGAUCACAGCCUGGCAACACAACGGAGGAACUUGUGAUGGUAGAGGAAAUGAAACUAGACGGCAUGGGAACAACAGAAACAUGAUGAACUAAUACUCAGGACUGGAUUGGAAGUACUGAGAGGUAUGCCAUAUGCAAAAAUGCUAUUUAUGCCCUUAACUGGUGGUGUUAAAGCAGAUGAAUAAUGCAGUGCAUUCAGGUUAUGAUGAGAUGUAAACAAAACAAAUGAAAAAGAGGUUGCAUGGCUGAGGAAAUCUAGUUGAGGACAGUCAAGUUAUAGUAGGAC
rnacentral:lncRNA from 1 species